rnacentral:rRNA from 1 species
CAGUAGCGUAUAUUAAAGUUGUUGCAGUUAAAAAGCUCGUAGUUGGAUUUCUGACAUGGUGCGCCUGGUCCGCCCCGUAAAGGUGUGUGAGUACCGGUGUGCCCCUGUCAUCCUUCCGCGGAGCGUGUCUACCCUUCAUUGGGCCGGGCACGCGACGUGGAUCGUUUACUUUGAAAAAUUAGAGUGUUCAAAGCAGGCUAUACGCUUCUGAAUACAUUAGCAUGGAAUAAUAAGAUAGGACUUGGGUUCUAUUUUGUUGGUUUCUAGGACCGAAGUAAUGAUUGAUAGGGAUAGUUGGGGGUGCUAGUAUUUAACGGCCAGAGGUGAAAUUCUUGGAUUCGUUAAAGACUAACUAAUGCGAAAGCAUUCACCAAGGAUGUCUUCUUUAAUCAAGAACGAAAGUUGGGGGAUCGAAGACGAUUAGAUACCAU